rnacentral:rRNA from 1 species
UACCAGAUUGGGAUAACUUCGGGAAACCGGAGCUAAUACCGGAUAAUAUAUUGAACCGCAUGGUUCAAUAGUGAAAGACGGUUUUGCUGUCACUUAUAGAUGGAUCCGCGCCGCAUUAGCUAGUUGGUAAGGUAACGGCUUACCAAGGCAACGAUGCGUAGCCGACCUGAGAGGGUGAUCGGCCACACUGGAACUGAGACACGGUCCAGACUCCUACGGGAGGCAGCAGUAGGGAAUCUUCCGCAAUGGGCGAAAGCCUGACGGAGCAACGCCGCGUGAGUGAUGAAGGUCUUCGGAUCGUAAAACUCUGUUAUUAGGGAAGAACAAAUGUGUAAGUAACUAUGCACGUCUUGGCGGUACCUAAUCAGAAAGCCACGGCUAACUACGCGCCAGCAGCCGCGGUAAUACGUAGGUGGCAAGCGUUAUCCGGAAUUAUUGGGCGUAAAGCGCGCGUAGGCGGUUUUUUAAGUCUGAUGUGAAAGCCCACGGCUCAACCGUGGAGGGUCAUUGGAAACUGGAAAACUUGAGUGCAGAAGAGGAAAGUGGAAUUCCAUGUGCAGCGGUGAAAUGCGCAGAGAUAUGGAGGAACACCAGUGGCGAAGGCGACUUUCUGGUCUGUAACUGACGCUGAUGUGCGAAAGCGUGGGGAUCAAACAGGAUUAGAUACCCUGGUAGUCCACGCCGUAACGAUGAGUGCUAAGUGUUAGGGGUUUCCGCCCCUUAGUGCUGCAG